GUCCCUAUAGCGCAAUUGAUAGCGCGUUGAACUUCUAAUCCAAAGGUGUACGUUCAAAUCCUACAUGGGAUA